UNGCAGUCCCAGAUUGUCGAAACUAACU
rnacentral:piRNA from 1 species